ACCCCAGCUCUGCAGCAACAGGCUGAUGAUGCUGAGGAGAGAGCCAAGUGCUUCCAGUGAGAACAGGAUCACACUCAGGAGUGUGUGGCCACUGCCCUGCAAAAGCUGGAAGAAGUGGGAAAAGCUUCUGAUAAGAGUAAGAAAGUAAGAAAGGUAUAAAGGUUAUUGAAAACUGGAGAGAGAGAGGGAAGAAAGAAAAACAGAAAGAGGAAGAAAAGAAGACGAAGGAAAGAUGGAACUCCGGGAAAUCCAACUCAAAGAAGCUAAGCAUAUUGAAGAAAAGGCAGAUAGGAAGUGUGAAGAAGUGGUUUAUAUAUUGGUAAUUAUUGAAGGAGACUUGGAAUCCACAGAGAAAGGAGCUGAGCUGGCAGAAUCCUGUUG
rnacentral:lncRNA from 1 species